CUUGUAGUCAUAUGCUUGUCUCAAAGAUUAAGCCAUGCAUGUCUAAGUUUAAAUAAUUUUACUGUGAAACUGCGAAUGGCUCAUUAUAUAAGUUAUCGUUUAUUUGAUAGUACCUUACUACAUGGAUAACCGUGGUAAUUCUAGAGCUAAUACAUGCUAAAAACCUCGACUUCGGAAGAGGUGUGUUUAUUAGAUUAAAAACCAAUGCCCUUCGGGGCUCACUGGCGAUUCAUAAUAACCUCUCGAAUCGCAUGGCCUUGCGCCGGCGAUGGUUCAUUCAAAUUUCUUCCCUAUCAACUUUCGAUGCUAGAGUAGUGUUCUAGCAUGGUUACAACGGGUAACGGAGGGUUAGGGCUCGACCCCGGAGAAGGAGCCUGAGAAACGGCUACUACAUCCAAGGAAGGCAGCAGGCGCGCAAAUUACCCAAUCCCGACACGGGGAGGUAGUGACGAUAAAUACUGAUACAGGGCUCUUUUGGGUCUUGUAAUUGGAAUGAGUACAAUUUAAAUCCCUUAACGAGGAACAAUUGGAGGGCAAGUCUGGUGCCAGCAGCCGCGGUAAUUCCAGCUCCAAUAGCGUAUAUUAAAGUUGUUGUGGUUAAAAAGCUCGUAGUAGAACCUUGGGCCUGGCUGGCCGGUCCGCCUCACCGCGUGCACUGGUCCGGCCGGGCCUUUCCCUCUGUGGAACCGCAUGCCCUUCACUGGGUGUGCCGGGGAAACAGGACUUUUACUUUGAAAAAAUUAGAGUGCUCCAGGCAGGCCUUUGCUCGAAUACAUUAGCAUGGAAUAAUAGAAUAGGACGUGUGGUUCUAUUUUGUUGGUUUCUAGGACCGCCGUAAUGAUUAAUAGGGACAGUCGGGGGCAUCAGUAUUCAAUUGUCAGAGGUGAAAUUCUUGGAUUUAUUGAAGACUAACUACUGCGAAAGCAUUUGCCAAGGAUGUUUUCAUUUAUCAGGAACGAAAGUUAGGGGAUCGAAGACGAUCAGAUACCGUCGUAGUCUUAACCAUAAACUAUGCCGACUAGGGAUCGGACGAUGUUAUUUUUUGACUCGUUCGGCACCUUACGAGAAAUCAAAGUGCUUGGGCUCCAGGGGGAGUAUGGUCGCAAGGCUGAAACUUAAAGAAAUUGACGGAAGGGCACCACCAGGGGUGGAGCCUGCGGCUUAAUUUGACUCAACACGGGGAAACUCACCAGGUCCAGACACAAUGAGGAUUGACAGAUUGAGAGCUCUUUCUUGAUUUUGUGGGUGGUGGUGCAUGGCCGUUCUUAGUUGGUGGAGUGAUUUGUCUGCUUAAUUGCGAUAACGAACGAGACCUUAACCUGCUAAAUAGCCCGUAUUGCUUUGGCAGUACGCCGGCUUCUUAGAGGGACUAUCGGCUCAAGCCGAUGGAAGUUUGAGGCAAUAACAGGUCUGUGAUGCAAGGGC
rnacentral:rRNA from 1 species